GAAGCGAAAGCGAGUCUGAAUAGGGCGCUAUAGUUAGUAGUGGUAGACGCGAAACCGUGUGAUCUACCCAUGGGCAGGGUGAAGCUGUGGUAACACACAGUGGAGGCCCGAACCGAUAUACGUUGAAAAGUGUUCGGAUGACCUGUGGGUAGGGGUGAAAGGCCAAUCAAACUCGGAGAUAGCUGGUUCUCCGCGAAAUCUAUUUAGGUAGAGCGUCAUCCGAAUACCCCGGGGGGUAGAGCACUGGAUGGGUAAUGGGGCCCCACAGGCUUACUGAUCCUAACCAAACUCCGAAUACCCGGGAGUACUAGAUGGCAGACACACUGCGGAUGCUAACGUCCGUAGUGGAGAGGGAAACAACCCUGACCUACAGCUAAGGCCCCCAAUUCAUGGCUAAGUGGGAAAGCAGGUGGGACGACCAAAACAACCAGGAGGUUGGCUUAGAAGCAGCCACCCUUUAAAGAAAGCGUAAUAGCUCACUAGUCGAGUCGGCCUGCGCGGAAGAUGUAACGGGGCUAAGCAAUAUACCGAAGCUGCGGCAGCACGUAAGUGCUGGGUAGGGGAGCGUUGUGUAAGUGGAUGAAGGUGAAUCGAGAGGUUUGCUGGACAUAUCACAAGUGCGAAUGCUGACAUGAGUAACGAUAAUGGGGGUGAAAAACCCCCACGCCGGAAGACCAAGGUUUCCUGUCCCAUGCUAAUCAGGGCAGGGUAAGUCGGCCCCUAAGGCGAGGCAGAAAUGCGUAGUCGAUGGGAAACGGGUUAAUAUUCCCGUACUUUUAUAUACAGUGAUGGGGUGACGGAGAAGGCUAGGCUGGCGUGGCGUUGGUUGUCCACGUGAAAGUGCGUAGGCUGGUGACUUAGGUAAAUCCGGGUUGCUAAGGCCGAGACACGAGACGAGCUACUACGGUAGCGAAGCAGUUGAUGCCCGGCUUCCAGGAAAAUCCUCUAAACGUAUGUAUAUAAGAACCGUACCCCAAACCGACACAGGUGGUCAGGUAGAGAAUACUAAGGCGCUUGAGAGAACUCGGGUGAAGGAACUCGGCAAAAUAGUACCGUAACUUCGGGAGAAGGUACGCCCCUGUUUGUGAAGGACUUGCUCCGUAAGCAGAUGGGGGUCGCAGUGACCAGAUGGCUGGGACUGUUUAUUAAAAACACAGCACUGUGCUAAAUCGAAAGAUGACGUAUACGGUGUGACACCUGCCCGGUGCCGGAAGGUUAAUUGAUGGGGUUAGCGUAAGCGAAGCUCUUGAUCGAAGCCCCGGUAAACGGCGGCCGUAACGAUAACGGUCCUAAGGUAGCGAAAUUCCUUGUCGGGUAAGUUCCGACCUGCACGAAUGGUGUAACCAUGGCCAUGCUGUCUCCACCCGAGACUCAGUGAAAUCGAAAUCGCAGUGAAGAUGCUGUGUACCCGCACCUAGACGGAAAGACCCCGUGAACCUUUACUACAGCUUGGCACUGAACAUUGACCCUACAUGUGUAGGAUAGGUGGGAGGCUUUGAAGCGUUGUCG
rnacentral:rRNA from 14 species